GACGUAGGGGGCGAGCGUUGUCCGGAUUUAUUGGGCGUAAAGAGCUCGUAGGCGGCUCAGAAAGUCGGGUGUGAAACCUCCAGGCUCAACCUGGAGACGCCACCUGAUACUGCUGUGGCUAGAGUCCGGUAGGGGAACACGGAAUACCCGGUGUAGCGGUGAAAUGCUUAGAUAUGACAUAGAACACCAAUUGCGAAGGCAGCUCGCUACACGAAGAUUAACUCUGAGGCACGAAAGCGUGGGGAUCAAACAGG
rnacentral:rRNA from 1 species